rnacentral:rRNA from 1 species
CGUAGGGUGCGAGCGUUGUCCGGAAUUAUUGGGCGUAAAGGGCUCGUAGGCGGUUUGUCACGUCGGGAGUGAAAACUCAGGGCUCAACCCUGAGCCUGCUUCCGGUACGGGCAGACUAGAGGUAUGCAGGGGAGAACGGAAUUCCUGGUGUAGCGGUGAAAUGCGCGGAUAUCAGGAGGAACACCGGUGGCGAAGGCGGUUCUCUGGGCAUUACCUGACGCUGAGGAGCGAAAGUGUGGGGAGCGAACAGGAUUAGAUACCCUGGUAGUCCACACCGUAAACGUUGGGCGCUAGGUGUGGGACUCAUUCCACGAGUUCCGUGCCGCAGCUAACGCAUUAAGCGCCCCGCCUGGGGAGUACGGCCGCAAGGCUA